UACGUAGGGUGCGAGCGUUAAUCGGAAUCACUAGGCGUAAGGCGCAGGUAGGCGGUUGGAUAAGUUUCUUGUGAAAGCUCCUGGCUUAACUGGGAGAGGUCAAGGAAUACUGUCUGACUUGAGUGUGGUAGGGGUAACUGGGAUUCCCGGUGUAGCGGUGAAAUGCGUAGAUAUCGGGAGGAAUACCUAUGGCGAAGGCAGGUUACUGGGCCAUCACUGACGCUGAGCUGCGAAAGCUAGGGGAGCAAACAGG
rnacentral:rRNA from 1 species